CAGUCGCCGCGGGAAAACGUAGGUGGCAAGCGUUGUCCGGAAUUAUUGGGCGUAAAGCGCGCGUAGGCGGCUUCUUAAGUCUGAGGUGAAAGGUUCAACGCUUAACGUGAACAGUGCCUUGGAUACUGGGGAGCUUGAGUAUGGGAGAGGGCAGUGGAAUGGCUGGUGUAGCGGUGAAAUGCGUAGAUAUCAGUCGGAACACCCAUGGCGAAGGCAGCUGCCUGGCCUAAUACUGACGCUGAGGUGCGAAAGCGUGGGGAGCGAACAGGAUUAGAUACCCCCGUAGUCCCUGUCUCUUAUU
rnacentral:rRNA from 1 species